AUGAAUGAAAUUAAGGCCCAACCCAUAGGGUGGCCGGCCAUGGCUAGAAAAAUAAGAAAAAAAAAGAUCCAAGCCCAAGUAGAAUUAAUCAUGUGAUAAAUGGAUAAAAUGCCACUUAAUCAUCCAAAAAUCCCAUAGAACCUUCAAGAAAAAUUUAGAAGGAGAAAAACAAAGAAACAAGAGCAAGAACAUAAGGGCCAUACGGCCAAGCUCUUGAAAUUUUGUCCCUUUGAAAUCUUUCUCCAAAAAUUAUUUUCUUGUGGUAUUUCCACUAAUUCAAGGGUCCUUUACAACUUGGUGUAAUUAUUUUGGAAGAAAGAGCACUUGUUUCUUCAAGUUGACAACUUGGUCAAGUGAAAAAGAUUGUAGAAAAAGAUUUUGGCGAACUUGAAACUUGAUUUUGGAGACGUGUAUGAAGCGGAAAAGGUCAGCAGACAGGUGGACGUGAUCCUUAGAAGCUCUACCAGCCGCACUUGACAGCGCUCCAGUUGUUCCGGAGCCUCACUCCAGCGGUACUAUUUUAUGCAUAUACAUUCGGGCUUGGUAGCACC